rnacentral:rRNA from 1 species
GACGAACGCUGGCGGCGUGCCUAAUACAUGCAAGUAGAACGCUGAAGGAGGAGCUUGCUCUUCUGGAUGAGUUGCGAACGGGUGAGUAACGCGUAGGUAACCUGCCUGGUAGCGGGGGAUAACUAUUGGAAACGAUAGCUAAUACCGCAUAAGAGUAGAUGUUGCAUGACAUUUACUUAAAAGGUGCAAUUGCAUCACUACCAGAUGGACCUGCGUUGUAUUAGCUAGUUGGUGGGGUAACGGCUUACCAAGGCGACGAUACAUAGCCGACCUGAGAGGGGGGUCGGCCACACUGGGACUGAGACACGGCCCAGACUCCUACGGGAGGCAGCAGUAGGGAAUCUUCGGCAAUGGACGGAAGUCUGACCGAGCAACGCCGCGUGAGUGAAGAAGGUUUUCGGAUCGUAAAGCUCUGUUGUAAGAGAAGAACGAGUGUGAGAGUGGAAAGUUCACACUGUGACGGUAUCUUACCAGAAAGGGACGGCUAACUACGUG